GCUAUCCCAUAAUAUUUGGAUAAUUAUUUGGAGUUGAAAAACUAUUUUAUUUAAAUAGUUAUAUAGCCCUAAAGGCAUUUAUAGGGCAAAUUUAUUUUUGUGUAUUUUAUUUUGAGGGGAAACUACUCCCAAAAGUUGUAUCAUGAUAAAACAUGGAUUUAGAAUUUUUCUGGAAUUUAUUUGGACCAAUUUGGAGUUCAAAAUCAAAAGAUAUCAAAGAAAUAAGAAAAACAGAAAAACAAAAGGCUAAAAGGAAAAAAAGGGGGAGAACUGGACCGGCCCGGCCGUUUUGGGCCGAACCGGCCCCGCAUCGCCCGAGCCAGC
rnacentral:lncRNA from 1 species